rnacentral:rRNA from 1 species
UAAUACGUAGGUGGCGAGCGUUAUCCGGAAUUACUGGGCGUAAAGCGCACGCAGGCGGUUUCUUAAGUCUGACGUGAAAGCUCCCGGCUUAACUGGGAGAGGUCGUUGGAAACUGGGAGACUUGAGGCGAUGAGAGGGAUGCAGAAUUCCUGGUGUAGUGGUGGAAUGCGUAGAUAUCAGGAGGAAUACCAGUGGCGAAAGCGGCAUCCUAGCGUCGGCCUGACGCUCAUGUGCGAAAGCGUGGGGAGCGAACGGGAUUAGAUACCCCGGUAGUCCACGCCGUAAACGAUGAACACUAGGUGUAGGUGAUGUGAAAGUUAUCUGUACCGAAGCAAACGCGUUAAGUGUUCCGCCUGGGGAGUACGGCCGCAAGGCUAAAACUUAAAGGAAUUGACGG